rnacentral:rRNA from 1 species
CCUACGGGGCGCAGCAGUGGGGAAUAUUGGACAAUGGGCGAAAGCCUGAUCCAGCCAUGCCGCGUGUGUGAAGAAGGCCUUCGGGUUGUAAAGCACUUUCAGUGGGGAAGAAAGCCUUGGGGCUAAUACCCUCGAGGAAGGACAUCACCCACAGAAGAAGCACCGGCUAACUCCGUGCCAGCAGCCGCGGUAAUACGGAGGGUGCGAGCGUUAAUCGGAAUUACUGGGCGUAAAGCGCGCGUAGGCGGUCUGAUAAGCCGGUUGUGAAAGCCCCGGGCUCAACCUGGGAACGGCAUCCGGAACCGUCAGGCUAGAGUGCAGGAGAGGAAGGUAGAAUUCCCGGUGUAGCGGUGAAAUGCGUAGAGAUCGGGAGGAAUACCAGUGGCGAAGGCGGCCUUCUGGACUGACACUGACGCUGAGGUGCGAAAGCGUGGGUAGCAAACAGGAUUAGAUACCCUGGUAGUC